rnacentral:tRNA from 1 species
GCACAAGAUAGUUCAGUUGGUUAGAGUGUGGUGCCGAUAAUGCCAAGGUUGCAGGUUCGAUCCCCGUAUGGGGCAGCUGCA